UUCUCAGACCUGGGAGGACUCAAGACUCCCUGGAUGAGGAAGAGUUGCAUCAUCUGGCAGGUGUUACGAAUACCAUCCCAUGGAAAUGCUUCCUGUAGCCGGAAAGGCUGUCAGUGAUCGAGAAAGCAGGAUUCCAGGAAGUGCAUGGAGACGAGAGCAAGAAGCUGGCAAAAGAGGAUUAAGACAUGGUAAGAAAGCGACCUAAAAAAGAAAGAAGAAAAUAUUGGGACUGUGCCUACAUCUAUUGCUGUUUUAUUUGUGUUGUGUGGUAGCUAGGAGUCCCAGCCAGGGACCAGGACGACAUCUUGUGUUUGGCAGUCUAUGGCAAGGACUCUUGCUUUCUUUGUUUAUAAAGAGCUGACAAUCUUUGUUUCUCUGUGAUGGAAAAGGGAGUCCCCAAAAGGAUUUUAUUGUUAAAUAUUCUAUUAAAAGCAAGUC